AAAAAAGCAAUGACAGUAAAUCCUUGGUCUGACUCAGAAAAUGGAAAUGGCUCUAAUGACUCUGAGCUUGAUUCUUAUGCGCAACACCACCAAGUGACAGCAACAUGUAUGCAGGAUUCUAAUUCAGAUACGGAUGAAGGUGCUUUGGCUGAAGCUUAUUUGAAAGAUAUAAUAAAACCAAAGGCUAUUCCUGCGAAACAAAAGGAAGUGGGGUUCAAAUCAUCAGAAGUACCGAGCAGUAGUUUGGGUGAGUCUAUAAUUCACUUGUAUCAUAAUCUCUGUUUAGCCUAUAAAAAC
rnacentral:lncRNA from 1 species